GCUCUGGCGCGUGAUGCUUUUAAUGAUAGUACAGCAAUUAAACUCAAUCUCCUCAGGCAGGCAGCACAGGCCUAUCUCACACACACUGGCACCAUAUGGCAAGACUCCCAGCGACACUGCCUCAUAGUCAGAGAGAGAAAGACUGCAUCCAAAAAAUUCUGCCAGUAAGCUUCUUCUGCAUCCCCUCCCCCUGCUAUGUGUGAAGGGCUGCGGUUCCCCAGCAACCGAAAGGCAGAGAGUGUGCACAGAAGCACAUUAAAGAUGAUAACCAUGAAAGGGGGCUUGGGGGGAGGACAGCGGAUGUACAGGAAAGCAGUUCUGUAGAACGGAGUUAAAGUUCCUUUCCAGAAUUGAGGUGAUGUCUGUGAAUGCCAACUUUUCAGGCAGCUAUUAGGCUUGGACAAAGCUUGUACUGAAACAGGCUUUUCCAGUCACUGACCUGUGGGCUUAUGGCCAACUGGGACCUCCCUGUGCUCAAUAAGCUACUCUGAUCUCCUGGAGUCCCACUUUAGCAGUGCUCACAAUCAAUGCCCAGUGAAACUGAGCCAGUGUGCAUGGGCAGAGAUAUGACGGCUGUGGCCCAGGGAGCUCUCCGCUGGUCGUCUCUGCAAACGAGGCUGUUCCUCUGCACAAGAGGUUCACUAAUUCCAGUACUACGCUUUAGUGGUUUUAGAACAGCAUAGAAUAGCGGUAUGCACUUUUGAGUUUUUCUUAGGAAAAGCUCAUUUAGGGUAGUUCAGUAUAUAUUCAGGUAUAAUGCUUUCUCAGCUAUCUUUUGCUUCUGAGAUUAAAAAUGCAGCUAGAUGAACUAAAUAUUUUAAUGAUUAAAUCAGCAAUGUGAUCAUAUCAUUCACACAUAGGUAUCAAAAAUAAAGGAGUACUUAGUCAACUCUUGUUUUCCAAGGCUUAAAUUGUUUUAGCCUAAUUCUGGAGGAACCACAAUAUCUCUCAGAUCCCAGCAGAAUGCUCACAAGUCAGUAAGUGAUCUUGGUUUGCAUAUGACAGCAUGGGGGCAUUUAUUUUAUAUGCUUCAUUUCACCACUAUUUUUAAAAUGGCUACUACACUGAACAAGUGAGUAAAUGUGGAGAUUUGGGUACAGAAUCCAAAUUCAUUUUGCAAUGGAAGACCAGGUCACUCCUGUAUGUCUAACACUCUUAGAAUGAUAAUUAUACUCUGUCUCAUUA